CGUCUCCGUUAAUGAUUUUAGGUGCUUGCACUUGAAAGAUUUAACAUUGAGACGAGUGGCGAACUGGUGAGUAACACGUGGGUAACCUGCCCUUGAAGUAGGGGAUAACACUUGGAAACAGGUGCUAAUACCGUAUAACAACCAAAACCACCUGGUUUUGGUUUAAAAGACGGCUUCGGCUGUCACUUUAGGAUGGACCCGCGGCGUAUUAGCUUGUUGGUAAGGUAACGGCUUACCAAGGCGAUGAUACGUAGCCGACCUGAGAGGGUAAUCGGCCACAUUGGGACUGAGACACGGCCCAAACUCCUACGGGAGGCAGCAGUAGGGAAUCUUCCACAAUGGACGAAAGUCUGAUGGAGCAACGCCGCGUGAGUGAUGAAGGGUUUCGGCUCGUAAAACUCUGUUGUUGGAGAAGAACAGGUGUCAGAGUAACUGUUGACAUCUUGACGGUAUCCAACCAGAAAGCCACGGCUAACUACGUGCCAGCAGCCGCGGUAAUACGUAGGUGGCAAGCGUUGUCCGGAUUUAUUGGGCGUAAAGCGAGCGCAGGCGGUUUUUUAGGUCUGAUGUGAAAGCCUUCGGCUUAACCGGAGAAGUGCAUCGGAAACCGGGAGACUUGAGUGCAGAAGAGGACAGUGGAACUCCAUGUGUAGCGGUGAAAUGCGUAGAUAUAUGGAAGAACACCAGUGGCGAAGGCGGCUGUCUGGUCUGUAACUGACGCUGAGGCUCGAAAGCAUGGGUAGCGAACAGGAUUAGAU
rnacentral:rRNA from 1 species